rnacentral:rRNA from 1 species
AGAGUUUGAUCCUGGCUCAGGAUGAACGCUGGCGGCGUGCUUAACACAUGCAAGUCGAACGAUCCUUCGGGAUAGUGGCGGACGGGUGAGUAACGCGUGGGAAUCUGCCCUCAGGAGGGGGAUAACGGCUGGAAACGGCCGCUAAUACCCCAUAUGCCGAGAGGUGAAACGAAUUUCGCCUGAGGAUGAGCCCGCGUCUGAUUAGCUAGUUGGUGGGGUAAAGGCCCACCAAGGCGACGAUCAGUAGCUGGUCUGAGAGGAUGAUCAGCCACACUGGGACUGAGACACGGCCCAGACUCCUACGGGAGGCAGCAGUGGGGAAUUUUCCGCAAUGGGCGAAAGCCUGACGGAGCAACGCCGCGUGAGGGAUGAAGGCCUCUGGGCUGUAAACCUCUUUUCUCAAGGAAGAAGACCUGACGGUACUUGAGGAAUAAGCCACGGCUAAUUCCGUGCCAGCAGCCGCGGUAAUACGGGAGUGGCAAGCGUUAUCCGGAAUUAUUGGGCGUAAAGCGUCCGCAGGCGGCCUUGUAAGUCUGUUGUUAAAGCGUGGAGCUUAACUCCAUUUAAGCAAUGGAAACUACAAGGCUGGAGUGUGGUAGGGGCAGAGGGAAUUCCCGGUGUAGCGGUGAAAUGCGUAGAUAUCGGGAAGAACACCAGUGGCGAAGGCGCUCUGCUGGGCCAUAACUGACGCUCGUGGACGAAAGCCAGGGGAGCGAAAGGGAUUAGAUACCCCUGUAGUCCUGGCCGUAAACGAUGAACACUAGGUGUCGGGGGAAUCGACCCCCUCGGUGUCGUAGCCAACGCGUUAAGUGUUCCGCCUGGGGAGUACGCACGCAAGUGUGAAACUCAAAGGAAUUGACGGGGGCCCGCACAAGCGGUGGAGUAUGUGGUUUAAUUCGAUGCAACGCGAAGAACCUUACCAGGGUUUGACAUCCUGCGAACCCCUGAGAAAUCGGGGGGUGCCUUCGGGAGCGCAGAGACAGGUGGUGCAUGGCUGUCGUCAGCUCGUGUUGUGAGAUGUUGGGUUAAGUCCCGCAACGAGCGCAACCCACGUCUUUAGUUGCCAGCAUUCAGUUGGGCACUCUAGAGAGACCGCCGGUGAUAAACCGGAGGAAGGUGUGGAUGACGUCAAGUCAUCAUGCCCCUUACAUCCUGGGCUACACACGUACUACAAUGCUACGGACAAAGGGCAGCAAGCUCGCGAGAGUUAGCAAAUCCCAUAAACCGUGGCACAGUUCAGAUCGUAGGCUGCAACUCGCCUACGUGAAGGAGGAAUCGCUAGUAAUCGCAGGUCAGCAUACUGCGGUGAAUACGUUCCCGGGCCUUGUACACACCGCCCGUCACACCAUGGAAGUUGGCCAUGCCCGAAGUCGUUACUCCAACCCUUGUGGAGGAGGACGCCGAAGGUGGGGCUGAUGACUGGGGUGAAGUCGUAACAAGGUA